CUCUUUUUCUCUGGAGCCGUACGCAAGGAGGAGGAGAAUCCGGUUGGAGCUCGUGUGUCGCCGACGUCGCGCCGCGGUACCGUUUGAGCGUGUGUUCGUCAUCGUAACAUCGCGAGAAGGCCGGGCGAGGGUGCGUUUACGUCGUUUUCGACGUCGCGCUGGAUUGGAUUUUGCGUUUGAGGUGGGUUUAUCAUCGGAUUUCUACUCCUAUAGCCUUGUUAGUCAACAUGUAUAGUUAUGAUAUCUGCGUUGGUAUUGUUUAGCUCAGAUUCAUGUUUAUGCAUUGUUCUAGGCCUAUAUAUUGAAUUUGGAGCAUGUUACUGUUUAUUAUUAAUUAUACAUAUUGGACUUGGAUAAAACAUAGGAGAAAACCAGUGUUCGGAACCUGUCAUAUGUUAAACUACCUGAUUUAGCCUUAGAGGCCGUUGUACUUUUAUACAGUUGCAGUGUUCUUGUGAUGAGUACCCCAGGUAGUCUAAUUUACUGUUACACUCGUGCUGGGAUGCCAAGUCUAUUUUUACAGUAGUGUUUAGACUGUUCCGGCUAGUGGGUGCCGUCGCGGUUGACGAUGGACCCGGAUUUGGUCAUUUUGAGAUCCGAUUGUGCCGAGGGCACGUGACUAGUGGUUAGUAGCCAAUUGGACUUAUUUUCUUGACUUUAGCCUGUGAGAGCCUGAUUGAGCUCGACAGAGAUACGCUUGCAUAUUCGGUUGGAUCGCGCCCACGAGUUGCCGCUCCGGAGUUUGGCUUUGUGCUUUCGCGUUGAUGUCACUGACUAGUUUUACUAUCCACGGACUGUUUUGCGUGGAGGUAGCGUAGCUUAGACAGGCGGGACGGGUGCGUUCACAAUCCCCGGGACGAGUGUGUUUACAGUCCCUAUUGAGAUUGGGUCAGAUUUGACAGUUACUACAGUUGGAUAGUAUAGUGGCAGGUAGCUGUAGAUUUCUUUCCAGCUUUAACUACUAGUUUGUUUCUGACUGUAGUCUUAGUGGGUGGACCGAUGAUGUUGAGGGCGGUACCUAUUACUUUAUAUAAAUAUUUCUUUGUACAGGAGAUUAUGCAUUCCUUAUAUUAGUGUAUACUAUAUUAGUUUUCUUACCAAUUCACAACUCACCAUGUAUUAGCUUGAUCUCUGUUUAUAUAAAGAGGUCUUUUGUAAUUUAUCAAAUCAGAAAGAAAUAUAUUUUCUUCUCCAAUUAUUCUUUGUUUCAUGGUAUCAGAGCGCGACUAGCUUAAUACGCAAAAGCUCGUCGUCACAAGAUCGCCGUCGGUAUCUCUCGACCUAAUUCUGUCAUGACAUCCGCACCUCCAUCGAUGCCGCCUGUACAGGUUCCUACACCGACACCUCCAUCAAUGCCGCCUGUACAGGUUCCUGCAUCGACUAUUGCCCAGCUCGAUGUUAAACUCUCCGGGCCUAAUUAUCGUGAAUGGUCGGUGUCCAUUCAACUCUUGUUUGAUGCUCUCGAUCUUACUGGACAUAUUGAUGGUGCUGGUCCACCAACCGAUGAUUCCAAACUCAAGGACUGGCUCGUUGCUGAUCGACGUGCUCGUGGAAUUAUUUCUACAUCGGUAAACAUGGACAUUCGGAUGCAGCUUAUCAAUUUGUCCACCGCUCAUCAGAUGUGGUCUCUUCUUCGGCAGAUGUAUGAGCAGUCUAGUUAUGCUCAAUCAUAUGCUGAGUUUCAAGAGAUCUCCAUGGCUCAUCAAGGUGAGCGUAGUAUCCAAGAGUUUUACAGUUUUAUGCAGGCUCGUUGGCGUCAACUGGCGACCAUGGAUGAACCCUUGUGUCGCACUUGCUCAACUUGUCAGUGUACUGUCAAGCAAAAGCAGGUGCGUGAUCAACAACGAUUGUUCUAGUUUCUUAUGCGCCUACGACCUGAGUUUGAAGCAUUACGUGGCCAACUACUCCAUCGAACUCCCUUCCCUACUAUUGAUGUGGCUCUCGCGGAAUUGAUUGCUGAGGAGACACGUCUUCGAGUUUUGAGUUCCUCUUCUUCCGCAAUGCCUAACGUUCUUGCUGCUCAUGGUCCUGCAAGUCCACCUCCCGUGCCAGCGCCUACUUAUCAUCAACCGCCUUCUAGUUACAUUCCAAAUCCUGGUACUAGAAAAGACAAACGAAGGAUUCAAUGUCGUUACUGUCAUCUUUGGGGUCACUCAAUUCAAGAUUGCCGGAAAAAGAAAUGGGCAGAUCAGCAUUUACCAUCCUCUCGUAAUAUGCCUACUGUUGCAUUUGCUCCUUCUGUUCCUCCGGUCAACAAUGCGUCAUCUACAGAGCAGCAACCUUCAACUAUUCAAUUGAGUCUUCCUCAACUACUGAAGAUGUUUCAGCAACACCAAUUGACUCCAUCCACUUCGUCAGGGCAGUCCUCCUCUAUCUUUUCAUCUACGCAAUCAGGUUUUGGUAUGACUGGUCCUGGAGGUACUUCGGAACAUUCCUGGAUUUUAGACUCAGGCGCAUCAUUUCAUAUGACACCACAUGCUUCUUUACUUUCUUCACCUUCUCAAUUAAAUUCACCUUCACAUAUUUUUACUGCUGAUGGUACCUCUCUUUCUGUCAAUAAUAGUGGCGUUGUUUCACCUAAAUCUGAUACUUCAGGACGCUUUACUAUUCCCUCUGUCCUACAUAUACCUCGACUCUCUCUUAACUUACUAUCUGUCAGCCAAAUUACUGAUCAUGAUUGCACAGUGACCUUUGAUUCUUCUUCUUGUCUUGUGCAGGAUCGUCGGACCGGGACUUUGAUUUGACAGGGCCAUAGACGUGACUGCCUGUACUACAUGGACUAUCUGCAUCUUCCUCCUAAAAUUAAUUCAGCAAAUAUUGCUACAACUUCAAAUUCUGAUCUCUGGCAUUGUCGUCUCGGUCAUCUUUCUUCUGAUAAGUUUGCUGUUUUAAUUCGUAGUGGUGUAUUAGGUCAUGUUUUUAAUUCCGAAUCUGUUUCUUGCAUUGGAUGCAAACUUACUAAACAUUCCAUUAAACCUUUUCCUGUUAGCAAUUCUAUUUCAAGUGCACCAUUUGAUCUUAUUCACUCUGAUGUUUGGGGACCAGCACCUAUAUCAACUCGUGUUGGAAAUAAAUAUUAUGUUAUUUUCGUUGACGAUUACUCACGCUUUACCUGGGUUUAUUUUAUGCAUAACAAAUCUGAACUUUUUCAAUUGUAUCAAAAUUUCGCUGCCAUGGUUCAAACUCAAUUUGGUGCCACUAUUAAAACUUUCCACUCUGAUUCUGGUGGCGAGUAUCUCUCAAAUGAAUUUCGCCAACUUCUCACUAAGCAUGGUACUUUGCCGCAACUCUCUUGUCCUUAUACUCCUCAACAGAAUGGUGUUGCUGAGCGUAAACACCGACAUAUCCUUGAAACCGCUCGAUCUCUUCUAAUUGAUGGGUCUGUGCCUAAACAAUUUUGGGCAGAUGCGGUUUCUACCGCAGUUUAUCUGAUUAAUAUUAUGCCCUCCAGUCUUUUCUCCGACGUCUCUCCUAGUGAGCGAUUGUAUGCUAAAUCACCAUCUUAUACUCAUUUGCGUGUUUUUGGAUGUACUUGUCUUGUUCUUUUGCCUCCGCAUGAACGAACCAAAUUAACUCCAAAAUCGUCAAUUUGUGUUUUCUUAGGAUAUAGUCUUGAGCAUAAAGGGUACAGAUGUUAUGAUCCUACUGCUCGCCGCAUGCGAAUUUCUCGAGAUGUCAUUUUUCUUGAACAUGUAUCAUAUUAUGCUCAAUCUAAGUUAAGCGUUGAUACUUCUGCCGUUUCUUCACCUUCUGUUAUUGAUCUUUCAUUUCUUGUUAAUUCUUCGUCGACCACCACAUCUUCUCCCGAAGAGCCCCAACGAAUUGUCGCUCAGCCCACUGAAUCUUCGUCUUCUGCAGAAGUUUCUAUAGUACCGGCACCACAUGACGACCCACCAAUUACUGUUCCUUCCGACGAUCAAACGACUGCUGAGCGCCGCUAUCCACUGCGUACUCGCCGCCCCACACAAUUUUUUGGUUGUCUUGCCUCUCCUUCUUUUUCUCCACGAUAUCAUGCUUUCUUUGCAGCCAUUUCUAAUAUCCAGGAACCCCGUACAUAUCGCCAGGCCGUUUCCAUUCCUGAAUGGCGAGAUGCAAUGACCACAGAACUUACUGCCCUUCAUCGUACUGGUACUUGGGAACUAGUUCCUCUCCCGCCGGGCAAGACUCCAAUAAGUUGUAAGUGGAUUUAUAAAGUCAAGACAAAUUCUGAUGGCUCAAUUGAUCGCUAUAAAGCCCGUUUAGUUGCUCGAGGGUUCUCUCAAGAAUAUGGCAUUGAUUAUGAGGAGACAUUCGCCCCUGUUGCUAAGAUGACCUCUGUUCGCAUCCUUAUUGCUCUUGCUGCCUCUCGUAGCUGGCCUCUUUAUCAACUUGAUGUCAAAAAUGCCUUCUUACAUGGGGAUCUUCAUGAAGAAGUUUAUAUGCAACCACCUCCUGGUCUUUCCCAUUCAUCUGGUCAUGUUUGCCGGCUACGGAAGGCUUUAUAUGGCCUUAAACAAGCUCCCCGAGCUUGGUUUGAAAAAUUUCAGUCUGCUAUUCUUUCCUUUGGAUUUCAUCAAAGCGAAAAUGAUCAUGCCUUAUUUAUUCAUACAUCUUCUCGCGGGCUCACUGCCUUACUUUUGUAUGUUGAUGAUAUGAUAAUUACUGGUGAUGAUCCUGAUUAUAUUCGUUCCGUUAAAUCCUAUCUUCAGCAACAAUUUGACAUGAAGGAUCUUGGUCCUCUUCGAUAUUUUUUGGGGAUUGAAGUGGCAUAUAGUCCUCGAGGAUAUAUAUUGUCUCAACAAAAAUACACUGCCGACUUGCUAUCUCGUGCUGAGCUCACUGAUACUGACACUGUGAGUACUCCUAUGCAGCUCCACCAAAAACUAACUCCAACUAUGGGCGAACCUCUCACUAAUCCUACACGUUAUCGUGAGCUAGUUGGUGCAUUAGUCUAUCUCACUAUAUCUCGCCCCGACAUUGCUUAUGCGGUUCAUAUUGUUAGUCAAUUUAUGCAGGCGCCUACUUCUGUUCACUAUGCUGCUCUUUUACGCAUCUUGCGCUAUUUACGAGGAAGUAUUCAUCAAAGUCUAUUCUUUUCUUCCUCUUCCAAGCCUCAACUUCGUGCAUAUUGUGAUGCUGAUUGGGCUGGAGAUCCUACUGAUCGUCGAUCUACGACUGGCUAUUGCGUUUUCUUUGGGGAUUCUCUGAUUUCUUGGCGUUCAAAGAAACAAGAUAGUGUCGCAAAAUCUAGUACGGAAGCUGAAUAUCGUGCUAUGUCCUCUGCAGCCUCAGAAAUUGUAUGGCUUCGCCGACUCCUUGGUUACCUCGGUGUCCAGUGCUCUAGUCCAACACCUUUAUAUUGUGACAAUCAAAGUGCUAUCAAAAUUGCGAAUAAUCCUGUUUUUCAUGAACGUACUAAACAUAUCGAAAUUGAUUGUCACUUUGUGCGCCAUCAUUAUAUUAAUGGAACGAUAUCUCUGCCGUUCGUUCCCUCUGCUCAACAACUUGCUGAUUUUUUCACCAAAUCUCAGACUACUCAACGACAUCAGUACCUUCUUUCCAAACUCUCAGUGUUUACUCCACCUUGAGUUUGCGGGGAGGUGUUACUUUAUAUAAAUAUUUCUUUGUACAGGAGAUUAUGCAUUCCUUAUAUUAGUGUAUACUAUAUUAGUUUUCUUACCAAUUCACAACUCACCAUGUAUUAGCUUGAUCUCUAUUUAUAUAAAGAGAUCUUUUGUAAUUUAUCAUAUCAGAAGGAAAUAUAUUUUCUUCUCCAAUUAUUCUUUGUUUCAGUACCCACUGAGGACUACUUGUUUUUACAGUAGUUCUCACGCCCAGUUGUUACCACUGUUUUGCAGAGCCACC
rnacentral:lncRNA from 1 species